rnacentral:rRNA from 1 species
UACGAAGGGGGCUAGCGUUGCUCGGAAUACUGGGCGUAAAGCACACGUAGGCGGAUUGUUAAGUCGGGGGUGAAAUCCUGGAGCUCAACUCCAGAACUGCCUUCGAUACUGGCGAUCUCGAGUUCGGGAGAGGUGAGUGGAACUGCGAGUGUAGAGGUGAAAUUCGUAGAUAUUCGCAAGAACACCAGUGGCGAAGGCGGCUCACUGGCC